UACGUAGGGGGCAAGCGUUGUCCGGAUUUAUUGGGCGUAAAGAGCGUGUAGGCGGUUCGGUAGGUCCGUUGUGAAAACUCGAGGCUCAACCUCGAGACGCCGAUGGAAACCAUCGAACUAGAGUCCGGAAGAGGAGAGUGGAAUUCCUGGUGUAGCGGUGAAAUGCGCAGAUAUCAGGAAGAACACCCGUGGCUAAGGCGGCUCUCUAGUACGGUACUGACGCUGAGACGCGGAAGCGUGGG
rnacentral:rRNA from 1 species